AGAGGCGAUGAAGGACGUGCUAAUCUGCGAUAAGCGUCGGUGAGGUGAUAUGAACCGUUAUAACCGGCGAUUUCCGAAUGGGGAAACCCAGUGUGUUUCGACACACUAUCAUUAACUGAAUCCAUAGGUUAAUGAGGCGAACCGGGGGAACUGAAACAUCUAAGUACCCCGAGGAAAAGAAAUCAACCGAGAUUCCCCCAGUAGCGGCGAGCGAACGGGGAGGAGCCCAGAGCCUGAAUCAGUGUGUGUGUUAGUGGAAGCGUCUGGAAAGGCGCGCGAUACAGGGUGACAGCCCCGUACACAAAAAUGCACAUAUUGUGAGCUCGAUGAGUAGGGCGGGACACGUGGUAUCCUGUCUGAAUAUGGGGGGACCAUCCUCCAAGGCUAAAUACUCCUGACUGACCGAUAGUGAACCAGUACCGUGAGGGAAAGGCGAAAAGAACCCCGGCGAGGGGAGUGAAAAAGAACCUGAAACCGUGUACGUACAAGCAGUGGGAGCCUCUUUAUGGGGUGACUGCGUACCUUUUGUAUAAUGGGUCAGCGACUUAUAUUCUGUAGCAAGGUUAACCGAAUAGGGGAGCCGAAGGGAAACCGAGUCUUAACUGGGCGUUAAGUUGCAGGGUAUAGACCCGAAACCCGGUGAUCUAGCCAUGGGCAGGUUGAAGGUUGGGUAACACUAACUGGAGGACCGAACCGACUAAUGUUGAAAAAUUAGCGGAUGACUUGUGGCUGGGGGUGAAAGGCCAAUCAAACCGGGAGAUAGCUGGUUCUCCCCGAAAGCUAUUUAGGUAGCGCCUCGUGAAUUCAUCUCCGGGGGUAGAGCACUGUUUCGGCAAGGGGGUCAUCCCGACUUACCAACCCGAUGCAAACUGCGAAUACCGGAGAAUGUUAUCACGGGAGACACACGGCGGGUGCUAACGUCCGUCGUGAAGAGGGAAACAACCCAGACCGCCAGCUAAGGUCCCAAAGUCAUGGUUAAGUGGGAAACGAUGUGGGAAGGCCCAGACAGCCAGGAUGUUGGCUUAGAAGCAGCCAUCAUUUAAAGAAAGCGUAAUAGCUCACUGGUCGAGUCGGCCUGCGCGGAAGAUGUAACGGGGCUAAACCAUGCACCGAAGCUGCGGCAGCGACACUAUGUGUUGUUGGGUAGGGGAGCGUUCUGUAAGCCUGUGAAGGUGGCCUGUGAGGGUUGCUGGAGGUAUCAGAAGUGCGAAUGCUGACAUAAGUAACGAUAAAGCGGGUGAAAAGCCCGCUCGCCGGAAGACCAAGGGUUCCUGUCCAACGUUAAUCGGGGCAGGGUGAGUCGACCCCUAAGGCGAGGCCGAAAGGCGUAGUCGAUGGGAAACAGGUUAAUAUUCCUGUACUUGGUGUUACUGCGAAGGGGGGACGGAGAAGGCUAUGUUGGCCGGGCGACGGUUGUCCCGGUUUAAGCGUGUAGGCUGGUUUUCCAGGCAAAUCCGGAAAACCAAGGCUGAGGCGUGAUGACGAGGCACUACGGUGCUGAAGCGACAAAUGCCCUGCUUCCAGGAAAAGCCUCUAAGCAUCAGGUAACAUCAAAUCGUACCCCAAACCGACACAGGUGGUCAGGUAGAGAAUACCAAGGCGCUUGAGAGAACUCGGGUGAAGGAACUAGGCAAAAUGGUGCCGUAACUUCGGGAGAAGGCACGCUGAUAUGUAGGUGAAGCGACUUGCUCGUGGAGCUGAAAUCAGUCGAAGAUACCAGCUGGCUGCAACUGUUUAUUAAAAACACAGCACUGUGCAAACACGAAAGUGGACGUAUACGGUGUGACGCCUGCCCGGUGCCGGAAGGUUAAUUGAUGGGGUUAGCGGUAACGCGAAGCUCUUGAUCGAAGCCCCGGUAAACGGCGGCCGUAACUAUAACGGUCCUAAGGUAGCGAAAUUCCUUGUCGGGUAAGUUCCGACCUGCACGAAUGGCGUAAUGAUGGCCAGGCUGUCUCCACCCGAGACUCAGUGAAAUUGAACUCGCUGUGAAGAUGCAGUGUACCCGCGGCAAGACGGAAAGACCCCGUGAACCUUUACUAUAGCUUGACACUGAACAUUGAGCCUUGAUGUGUAGGAUAGGUGGGAGGCUUUGAAGUGUGGACGCCAGUCUGCAUGGAGCCGACCUUGAAAUACCACCCUUUAAUGUUUGAUGUUCUAACGUUGGCCCGUAAUCCGGGUUGCGGACAGUGUCUGGUGGGUAGUUUGACUGGGGCGGUCUCCUCCUAAAGAGUAACGGAGGAGCACGAAGGUUGGCUAAUCCUGGUCGGACAUCAGGAGGUUAGUGCAAUGGCAUAAGCCAGCUUGACUGCGAGCGUGACGGCGCGAGCAGGUGCGAAAGCAGGUCAUAGUGAUCCGGUGGUUCUGAAUGGAAGGGCCAUCGCUCAACGGAUAAAAGGUACUCCGGGGAUAACAGGCUGAUACCGCCCAAGAGUUCAUAUCGACGGCGGUGUUUGGCACCUCGAUGUCGGCUCAUCACAUCCUGGGGCUGAAGUAGGUCCCAAGGGUAUGGCUGUUCGCCAUUUAAAGUGGUACGCGAGCUGGGUUUAGAACGUCGUGAGACAGUUCGGUCCCUAUCUGCCGUGGGCGCUGGAGAACUGAGGGGGGCUGCUCCUAGUACGAGAGGACCGGAGUGGACGCAUCACUGGUGUUCGGGUUGUCAUGCCAAUGGCACUGCCCGGUAGCUAAAUGCGGAAGAGAUAAGUGCUGAAAGCAUCUAAGCACGAAACUUGC
rnacentral:rRNA from 1 species